UACAGAGGGUGCGAGCGUUAAUCGGAGUUACUGGGCGUAAAGGGCGCGUAGGCGGUUAUAUAAGUGAGAUGUGAAAUCCCUGGGCUUAACCUAGGAACUGCAUCUCAUACUGUAUGACUGGAGUAUUGUAGAGGGUAGUGGAAUUUCCGGUGUAGCGGUGAAAUGCGUAGAGAUCGGAAGGAACACCAGUGGCGAGGGCGGCUACCUGGACAAAUACUGACGCUGAGG
rnacentral:rRNA from 1 species